rnacentral:other from 1 species
CGCGUGCUGCGCCGUGCGUGAAGCCAAACUUGUCCCGGGGGCUAUACUCUCCUCUUGGGAGCUGUCUCUGCCGGGAUCCAGGUCCUGGUACCGCGGCGCCCACCUACUAUUGUAGGCUCCAGAGGAUAAGAGAAGAGGCCACGGCGGAUGUGGCCGCGC